CUCAACACUCCCUCCAUGGCUUGCUGAAACUCUCAAAUCUUGCAGAUUUGACUGGUGUGAAACCUACAAAAUGUCCAUUAUAACGAAUAACUUUGUCUCCUGAAGCAUUACUGUGGGAGAUUAUCGAAUUUUAUUAAUUAAUUUCAUAGUUUUAUUACUUAAUUGAUGCGUGGUAACGUUGUGAAGGCUGAGUUAAAGUGUCAUUAGUUGUUUACACAGGGCUGAGCCGUCAGCCUCAGCUAGCUGCUUUUUGUAUCCAAGCAGGAACUCCGGUUUGUGCCGGAGCCUAAAUCAAGCGCUCCUUUAUCACUGCCUCACACCUGCACCAACGACGGCAUUCAGACCUUCAUGCUAAUGUCUGAGGAAUGAGGAGCAUUCUAGCUGUGCCACACUGAAGAAAAUGGAAUGCCAACCAGAGUUUUAGAUCAUGUGAUGGGAGUGCCGGUGGAGAGCUUGUAGCGUGGGAGAAGUUUGACGAGUCUACACCCAGCUGUCCCAGUUCAAAAGCCACUGAUGAGACAAAUGAGCUUGAUCUUGAACAGAGGCAAAAGGAUCAAACACAUCACACUCGUCGCCUCAAGAAACUCAAAGCCCAUCAUGAUACAUGUGAAGCUAGUUACAAGGCAGCCUGUGUAAAGAUGGCAAAUGAAGAGA